AGAAUCAACGCUGGCGGCGUGCCUAACACAUGCAAGUCGAACGAGAAAGUGGAGCAAUCCAUGAGUAAAGUGGCGACCGGGUGAGUAACACGUGACUAACCUACCUUCAAGUGGAGGAUAACCUCGGGAAACCGGGCUAAUACCGCAUAACAUCUUUGGAGUGGAAAUUCUGGAGAUCAAAAGGAGCAAUUCGCUGGAAGAGGGGGUCGCGGCUGAUUAGCUAGUUGGCGGGGUAAUGGCCCACCAAGGCUUUGAUCGGUA
rnacentral:rRNA from 1 species